rnacentral:rRNA from 1 species
GCGAGGUGGUGCUAAUCCUAGAAAAUUCUUCGUAGUCCGGAUUGGAGUCUGCAACUCGACUCCAUGAAGUCGGAAUCGCUAGUAAUCGCGAAUCAGCAUGUCGCGGUGAAUACGUUCUCGGGUCUUGUACACACCGCCCGUCACACCAUGGAAGUGGAUUGCACCAGAAGUAGAUAGUCUAACCUUCGGGAGGGCGUUUACCACGGUGUGCUUCAUGACUGGGGUGAAGUCGUAACAAGGUAGCCGUAGGGGAACCUGUGGCUGGAUCACCUCCUU